GACGAACGCUGGCGGCGUGCUUCAUACAUGCAAGUCGAACGAGAAUCGGUAGCUUGCUAUCGAGGAAAGUGGCGGACGGGUGAGUAAUAUGUAGAGAAUCUGCCCUAGAGUGGGGGAUAACAGCCGGAAACGGCUGCUAAUACCGCAUAAUGCAUCGGAUUCGCAUGUUUUUGAUGCCAAAGAUUUUAUCGCUGAAAGAUGAGCUCGCGUCUGAUUAGCUAGUUGGCGGGUAACGCCCACCAAGGCGACGAUCAGUAGCCGGACUGAGAGGUUGAACGGCCACAUUGGGACUGAGACACGGCCCAG
rnacentral:rRNA from 1 species